rnacentral:lncRNA from 1 species
AGUUCAGAUAUGCUCCAUUAGUUUAUCCUCCAGUUUUUUCCAGUACCUUGUCAGAUCUGUGACACGUGGCAAUUAAGAAUUUCAAUGGCUGAGAUUAAAAAUUUCAACUUUUGAAAGCCACAUAGAAUCACCGUGAGAGGAAAACUGGAAACACAACAUCGUUUGAAAUGGAAAAGAUUAUUCAAAUCACUCAUGAACAUGAACCUCCUUUAUUUUUUG